UUUAAUAAUCACUGAAUCAUUUCAGACUCCAAACCCUUUAUGAAAAACUUGUUCGUUUUUAAUAUUAUACGUUGAAUAAAUAUUCUAAAUACAGUCGUUACUUAUUCAUAUAAAUAUAUUUUAAUUUACAACGGGUUUUUAUAUUUAUUCUAGUUGCAGCAAUGACGCUUAGAGUAGUACUUUUCAUCUGUUUGAUUCUAAGUCUUCAAGAAUAUCAAGAAGUAAAUGGUGGAGAUGUAAUACAUUCCACUAAUAAAUGGAAACCUAGAUGUUUGAAGACAUAUGAACCAUGCAAGCGUCCUAGAAGAAAGUGUUGCGAAGGUUACAAAUGUAAAUGCAAGAAAGACCAACCUUGUAGAUGUAAAAAAGUCUGAGUUAAUGAAAAAAUCUCCAUUUUAAAAA